GGUCUCUUAGUAUAAUGGUUAAUACUGCCGCCCUUCACGCGGUCAAUGCCAGUUCGAUUCUGGUAGAGGCUA
rfam:Rhizoctonia solani AG-1 IA unplaced genomic scaffold scaffold47, whole genome shotgun sequence.